CCCUCAGUAGGAGCUUAGGCUCCCAA
rnacentral:snRNA from 1 species